rnacentral:lncRNA from 1 species
GGGUUUUUAGUUUUCAACAAUUUUCAUUGACUCUUAUCCUUAGGUUUUUAUUUUUAUUUUUGUUUUUUUGUUGUUCCUUUACGCAUUUUAACACUUUAUUGUUUCUUGUGUUAGUAGGUUAAAGCACGUUGCACAAUCCUUCCUCUGUGCAACAAAAUUCUUUGAUAUCUAGCCGAUUUUGGACUCAUAGUGCUAUUAGAUUUGUUUUGUUAGUUUGAUCCUAAUACAUUCUGAUUGAUUGAUAUAGAAAAUUUUUAAAAGACUCACAAGAC